GACGAACGCUGGCGGCGUGCUUAACACAUGCAAGUCGAACGGUGAAGCGCCUUCCUUUUUGGUGGGUGUGGAUGAGUGGCGAACGGGUGAGUAACACGUGAGUAACCUGCCCCCUUCUUCUGGACAACCGCAUGAAAGUGUGGCUAAUACGGGAUAUUCUGGGUCUGUCGCAUGAUGGGUCUGGGAAAGAUAUUGUUUCGGUGGGGGAUGGGCUCGCGGCCUAUCAGCUUGUUGGUGGGGUGAUGGCCUACCAAGGCGGUGACGGGUAGCCGGCCUGAGAGGGGUGGGGGGCACACAGGGAGAGGGAGACGGCCCAGACUCACACGGGGGGGAGGGGGGGGGGAGAUAGCGGAAGGGGGGGGAGACCGGGGCCGAGCGGCCGCGGGAGGGAUGGGGGGUCUUUGGGGUUGAGCCCCUUUCGCGCGUGAAGAAGGGGCGCCUCUUUUGUGGGGGUGUGGAGGGGGGAUGGAGAAGAAGGGCCGGGGAAAUACAC
rnacentral:rRNA from 1 species